rnacentral:rRNA from 1 species
UAAUACGUAGGGACCAAGCGUUGUUCGGAUUUACUGGGCGUAAAGGGCGCGUAGGCGGCAUGACAAGUCACUUGUGAAAUCUCCGGGCUUAACUCGGAACGGCCAAGUGAUACUGUCACGCUAGAGUGCAGAAAGGGCAAUCGGAAUUCUUGGUGUAGCGGUGAAAUGCGUAGAUAUCAAGAGGAACACCUGAGGCGAAGGCGGGUUGCUAGGCUGACACUGACGCUGAGUGCGCGAAAGCCAGGGGAGCAAACGGGAUUAGAUACCCCGGUAGUCCUGGCCCUAAACGAUGAAUACUUGGUGUCUGGAGUUAUUAAUGCUCUGGGUGCCGUAGCUAACGUUUUAAGUAUUCCGCCUGGGGAGUACGCUCGCAAGAGUG